AUUGAACGCUGGCGGCAUGCCUUACACAUGCAAGUCGAACGGCAGCACGGGAGCAAUCCUGGUGGCGAGUGGCGAACGGGUGAGUAAUAUAUCGGAACGUGCCCAGUCGUGGGGGAUAACGUAGCGAAAGCUACGCUAAUACCGCAUACGAUCUAUGGAUGAAAGCGGGGGAUCGCAAGACCUCGCGCGAUUGGAGCGGCCGAUAUCAGAUUAGGUAGUUGGUGGGGUAAAGGCUCACCAAGCCGACGACCUGUAGCUGGUCUGAGAGGACGACCAGCCACACUGGGACUGAGACACGGCCCAGACUCCUACGGGAGGCAGCAGUGGGGAAUUUUGGACAAUGGGCGCAAGCCUGAUCCAGCAAUGCCGCGUGCAGGAUGAAGGCCUUCGGGUUGUAAACUGCUUUUGUACGGAGCGAAAAGGCUCUCUCUAAUACAGGGGGCUCAUGACGGUACCGUAAGAAUAAGCACCGGCUAACUACGUGCCAGCAGCCGCAGUAA
rnacentral:rRNA from 1 species